ensembl:lincRNA
AGAUACUUAAAAAUGUCAUUGCGGAAACUGUUUCUAUCCAGGCUUAAGGACUGACUCUCCAUGGCUGGUAUCGAUCAAGAAAACAUAGUCCAGUUUGUGUUGGUUGACUAGUUCUGAGCACGGAUGGCACCUGGGCUGGAUUGUGGUUUAAAUACCCAGUGUCACUUCAUUGAAGAAAAUGGAUUUUUCCUCUGCCAGAAGUUAUCACUUUCAACUAGCUUCUUGGUUAAAGUGGAUUACAUUGAUGGAUUUCCAUAUACUGGACUAUCCUUGCAUCCCUGGGAUGAAACUUACUUGAUCCUGAUGGAUGAAUGUUUUGAUAUGUUGUUGGAUGCUGUUUGUGAGACUUUUAUUGAGUAUUUUUGCAUCAAUAUUCAUAAGGCUACCAGAGGAGAAAAAUAAACACCAAGUCAGCUUCAAAUCUUUCAAUCUCCAGUGGUGACAUCUUCAGCAUAUGCUGGUGAAAUAGUGGGACAAAAGUUAUGGAAGUAACCAAGCAUUAUCUGAUUGGAUUUAAGGCUCACUUCAUGACCCGGAACUUAUUCUGAUACUGCUCAGGUAGUCAAGAACCUGAGACUACAUAUGCCAUGGACAUAUGGAAAAAUAAAUAUGACCGUUCUGUUAAACUAAUACAGCAAUUAAAUACUUCCUAACAAUAUUCUGAUACACUCAUGGAACAGUGUCUUUCUCAGCCAUCAUCAAAGAAACUUCAUCCUGAAACAGAUGAGAACAAAUACAAAGACUAACCUCACCACCCUCACCACCAGACAAUGUGAGAGAACCCUCAGUCCUACAUUGGAUGUUUUUACCAAAUACCCUCUUCAGGGCUCAGAGAACUGUGAUGAAGAUUAAGCAGAAAUAUUGUAAGAGCCAGUGGGUAUGCAAUAUAUUGGGAAAACAACAUCUUUGAGACAUAACAGAACCAUUGCACAAAAACACACAGAGACUGUGGCACUAUGCACAGGGCAUGCACAGGCCCAAACCAAAUGUUGCCCCAGCCCUGAGGGUGAAAGUAAAACCAAGUCCCUGUUCCCAUGGCAGAUUCUAUCUAUCUGCAGUUGAUAACAACUUAAAAAGUAAAGUCAGUUCUCUCCAAGGAAGUCUCACUGGAUAUACAAAUCACAUUUAGGGGGUCCCAAGCCCAGAAGCUGAUACCCCAAAUAAAACAAACUCACCUGCCUUUUUUUUAGUUUAUUUAUUUUUUUUAAUCUUUUGAUUGAUUUUUUUGUUUGUUUUGUUUUUUUCUUUUGUUUGUUUGUUUGUUUGUUUGUUUGUUUGUCUCAUAACACUUGUUCUGAAUAUGUAUGUUUCACCUGACAAGUCUUUUGUGAAAAUAUUUCUAAUCUUGUUCUUUUUAAUGGGAUUUUGUGUGAGUAACUAUGUCUAUGCACAUGUGUGUUUCUUAUGCUAUUUCUUUGGGUAUUUUUUUCCGGUUUGUUUUGUCCUAUUCUCAAUGUGUUUAAUUUUACUUUAUAAAUACCUAUAUGUAUUCAAAUAAUAGAGAAAAAUUUUAAGGGUUUUGGAGGGUUUCUAGGUGUAAAAUUUGGGAAGAAUUCAGAGAGGAAAAAUUAUAAUCAGAAUAUAAUGUCUGGGCAAAAUGUGGUCAAAAGAGAAAAUAUGGGUCUACCAAAAUGUUCCAACCUGUUAUAGACCACCCACAAAUACAUAGUAAGUCAUUUACUACAUGCUUUCAAUAGAAUGUUGUCCUGCUGGGCCACAGCAUAAUGUAAAGCUUAUUAUUACUCCAUCCUAACAACAGGAUAAUAAUCAGGGCCUCUAUUCAAUAUUUGUAUAUCAAAAUGCCUAAGCCAGCCAUUAAUAAAGAAUUGAAAUUGUUU